UACGUAGGGGCCUAGCGUUAUCCGGAAUGAUUGGGCGUAAAGCGUCUGUAGGUGGCUUUUUAAGUCCGCCGUCAAAUCCCAGGGCUCAACCCUGGACAGGCGGUGGAAACUACCAAGCUGGAGUACGGUAGGGGCAGAGGGAAUUUCCCGGUUGGAGCGGUGAAACUGCGAUAGAGAUCGGAAAGAACACCCAACGGCAGAAAGCACUUCUGCUGGGCCGACACCUGACUGACGAGACGAAAGCUAGGGGAGCGAAUGGG
rnacentral:rRNA from 1 species